AUGAUUAUUUUUUAAUAGCUGCAGUAUUCUGACUGUACAAAGGUAGCAUAAUAAUUAGUUUAUUAAUUGUAAACUGGAAUGAAUGAAUAUAUGAGAUUCUUGUUUUAUUUUUUUUAUAUUUAGAAUUUUAUUUUUAGGUUAAAAAGCCUAAUUUAAUUUUAGGGACGAUAAGACCCUAUAGAGGUUUAAUUUUGAUUUAGAUUUAGUUUAUUUUGUUAUUUUUUUUUCUAGUUUAUUUUUAUUAUUUUUUUUGGGGCGAAAAAUAAAUUUUAACUUUAUUUUUUUUUUUCAUUGAUUUUUGAUUUUUUUGAUCCAUAAUUUAUGAUUGAAAGAUAUAGCUACCUUAGGGAUAACAGCGUAAUUUUAAUGGGGAGUUCAUAUUUAUAUUAAAGUUUGCGACCUCGAUGUUGAAUUAAGAUUAGAUUUUGGGGAAGGUUUUAAUUUUCUAAGUCUGUUCGACUUUUAAAUUCUUACAUGAUCUG
rnacentral:rRNA from 1 species